UCGCCCUUGAGUUUGAUCAUGGCUCAGAUUGAACGCUGGCGGCAGGCCUAACACAUGCAAGUCGAACGGUAGCACAGAGAGCUUGCUCUCGGGUGACGAGUGGCGGACGGGUGAGUAAUGUCUGGGAAACUGCCUGAUGGAGGGGGAUAACUACUGGAAACGGUAGCUAAUACCGCAUAACGUCGCAAGACCAAAGAGGGGGACCUUCGGGCCUCUUGCCAUCAGAUGUGCCCAGAUGGGAUUAGCUAGUAGGUGGGGUAACGGCUCACCUAGGCGACGAUCCCUAGCUGGUCUGAGAGGAUGACCAGCCACACUGGAACUGAGACACGGUCCAGACUCCUACGGGAGGCAGCAGUGGGGAAUAUUGCACAAUGGGCGCAAGCCUGAUGCAGCCAUGCCGCGUGUAUGAAGAAGGCCUUCGGGUUGUAAAGUACUUUCAGCGGGGAGGAAGGUGUUGUGGUUAAUAACCGCAGCAAUGAC
rnacentral:rRNA from 1 species